UUAAUUGAAGAGUUUGAUCAUGGCUCAGAUUGAACGCUGGCGGCAGGCCUAACACAUGCAAGUCGAGCGGCAGCACAGAGGAACUUGUUCCUUGGGUGGCGAGCGG
rnacentral:rRNA from 1 species